UUUCAUAGGAAUGAAUGGGGCCCCACCACCAACGCUGUAUCCAGUUCUCUUUAUACGUCCUUGAUUCUAGCAUUAACUAGCUAACAUUAGCGUUGGCUAAGCAAUGAGUGACCUAGGUCCAUAUCAUAUCAUAAUAUUAUUAAAAUUAUUAGGCUAAGGGUUUUCUUGAUAAAGAUUCAUGAAAAUCCUGUAUAAUACAUAGGUUACAUCUGUAGCUCUACUGUGCUUAAAUGUAUGCCUGCUCAUGUAUUAGCUUAGUAGAGGGAAGAAAAUAGUUUUCAUUUCCAACAACAGGCAACGAAGUUGACAAUUACUUGUACUUCUACUUUAGUAUGGAUAAUGUGUUCUCCACAGCCACCUCAGUCAAGAGCGAGAUAUAGCAACUGACUCUGGACCGGAUCCACCUCCAAACCGGCAGAUCUGUGUUACAGUCUCAUCCGUUUUACGUCCCCCUGCCAGAUACGGACCGCAUACAGGCUGACGAGCUGAUCUGACCGGACCAAGGAGAAGCAGGAGACAGUUGGCGGCUUUUCUUCCAGCUUUUGAAAAUUAUUUAUAACGGUUCAGGUUCCCACAGAGUGCCACGGAUUAGUAGGGGACUGUAAGGAAGAACCAAGCUGCAAGCAGUGCUCCAGACAGCGAGAUCGACUCAUACGCUAUCCGAUGGUUUAACCUGGUGUCUGACUGCGGAGGUGGCCGCAAAGAUCAUGCCAAGGCUAAAGAGGCAUUAACCACGGUAAAUUUCAGAUAUAGCAUUGUGCUAGUCUUUUGCAGUAGCAGUUAUGUUUUGUGUUUUUAACUUCACAAUUGGUUGUUUAUGGGCAUCACAACAUUCCACCGAGCAGCAGUGGCUGACUUCAUAAAGGUACUGUAAAUUUUACAUAUAUUUUGCAUUCAUGAUUACUGUGGCAGCCGCACUAAACACAAUACCUUUUUGUUUUUCAUGGAUCCGGCAAAUCCUGCCCUGGCCAAAAGAAGCAGCGCCUGGGAGUGACAAGCAGGCAAUGGGAGAGGCCAGCUGGGUGGGGGAUCCAGUUAAACUUAAUUAUUAUAAGUUUUGUUGUUGUUUUUUUUAUUUUUUGGUUUGACAAUUAGUUUGGUUGUGACUAAUUUCUUGGUUCAAAUCUUUGUUGGUAUUAAAGUUCAUUUUUGAUAUAGUUAAUUGUUUGUUCCUGCCCCCCCCCCCCCCCCAGUUAUGUUGAGUUCAUUAUAGGUUGCUGUUUGUUUAGUUGAUCUUAAUUUGAGUAAAAGGUCCCUAGUUUUAAAAUUACUUUUGUCUAGUGUCC